rnacentral:rRNA from 1 species
GACGAACGCUGGCGGCGUGCUUAACACAUGCAAGUCGAACGGAAAGGCCCCUUUGGGGGUACUCGGGUGGCGAACGGGUGAGUAACACGUGAGUAACCUGCCCUUGACUUCGGGAUAACUUCAGGAAACUGGGGCUAAUACCGGAUAGGAAUCCUUGCUGCAUGGUGGGGGUUGGAAAGCUUCGGCGGUUUUGGAUGGACUCGCGGCUUAUCAGCUUGUUGGUGGGGUAGUGGCUUACCAAGGCUUUGACGGGUAGCCGGCCUGAGAGGGCGACCGGCCACAUUGGGACUGAGAUACGGCCCAGACUCCUACGGGAGGCAGCAGUGGGGAAUAUUGCACAAUGGGCGGAAGCCUGAUGCAGCAACGCCGCGUGCGGGAUGACGGCCUUCGGGUUGUAAACCGCUUUCAGCAGGGGCGAAGCUUGUGGUGACGGUACCUGCAGAAGAAGCACCGGCUAACUACGUG